rnacentral:rRNA from 1 species
UUAAGUGAAUAAGGGCGUACGGUGGAUGCCUAGGCACUUGGAACUGAAGAAGGACGCAACAAACGGCGAAACGCGACGGGGAGUGGUACGUACACAAAGAUCCGUCGAUAUCCGAAUGGGGAAACCCGGCAGCAGUAAUGAGCUGUCACCCAUGAGUGAAUACAUAGCUCAUGAGGGAGGUACCCGGAGAACUGAAACAUCUAAGUAACCGGAGGAAAAGAAAAUAAGAAUGAUUCCGUAAGUAGCGGCGAGCGAACGCGGAGGAGCCCAAACCAGAUCUUGAUCUGGGGUUGUAGGACCACGAAAUGGCAAGAGCACGGCUAAGAGAACGGCAUUGAAAGGCCGACCGGAGAGGGUGCAAGUCCCGUAACUGAAAGUCUAGCGAAGCCUAGUGGUAUCCUGAGUACGGCGAGACACGAGAAAUCUUGUCGGAAGCAGGCGGGACCAUCCGUCAAGGCUAAAUAUACCCAAGUGACCGAUAGUGAACCAGUACCGUGAGGGAAAGGUGAAAAGAACCGCGGGAGCGGAGUGAAAUAGAACCUGAAACCGUAUGCUUACAAGAAGUCAGAGCCCGUUAAAGGGUGAUGGCGUGCCUUUUGUAGAAUGAACCGGCGAGUUACGUUAUCGUGCGAGGUUAAGUAGAAGAUACGGAGCCGAAGCGAAAGCGAGUCUUAAUAGGGCGACAGUACGAUGAUGUAGACCCGAAACCGUGUGAUCUAGCCAUGACCAGGUUGAAGUUCAGGUGAAACUGAAUGGAGGACCGAACCGACCCCCGUUGAAAAGUUGGCGGAUGAGUUGUGGCUAGGGGAGAAAUUCCAAUCGAACACGGAUAUAGCUGGUUCUCCCCGAAAUAGCUUUAGGGCUAGCGUCGAGGUAGAGUCGCAUGGAGGUAGAGCACUGAAUGUACGAUGGCCCCAUCCCGGGGUACUGAGUAUAAUCAAACUCCGAAUGCCAUGAUGACGUACUCGGCAGUCAGACUGUGGGUGAUAAGGUCCAUGGUCAAAAGGGAAACAGCCCAGACCGCCAGUUAAGGUCCCAAAAUGUAUGCUAAGUGGAAAAGGAUGUGGGGAUGCACAGACAACUAGGAGGUUGGCUCAGAAGCAGCCAUCCUUCAAAGAGUGCGUAACAGCUCACUAGUCGAGUGACCCUGCGCCGAAAAUGUACCGGGGCUAAGCAUACUACCGAAGCUGCGGAUUCAACUUCAGAGUUGAGUGGUAGGGGAGCGUUGCAUGCACGUAGAAGCCGUACCGUAAGGAGCGGUGGAGAGCAUGGAAGAGAGAAUGCCGGUGUGAGUAGCGAGAUGUAGGUGAGAAUCCUACACACCGAUAGCCCAAGGAUUCCAGGGGAAGGUUCGUCCGCCCUGGGUAAGUCGGGACCUAACGCGAGGCCGAAAGGCGUAGUGGAUGGAAAACAGGCAGAUAUUCCUGUACCCGCGAUGGAAAUGAAGGAAUGACGGAGAAGGCUAGUGUGAGCCACUGAAUGGAUUGUGGUCGAAGCAUAUAGCAGGCUGACAGUGAAAUGCGUCAGCGGGAUGUAAGAUGUGAGAGGUAAGGGAACGUCCUCGGACAAGUACUGAAGCACAUGAUGCCAGCUUCCAAGAAAAGUUUCUAGUGAUAAUUCCAUAGCGGCCCGUACCAAAACCGACACAGGUGGGCAAGGAGAGAAUCCUGAGGUGAGCGAGAGAACUGUUGCCAAGGAACUCGGCAAAAUGACUCCGUAAGUUAGCGAUAAGGAGUGCUCUUGUAAAAGAGAGCCGCAGUGAAGAGGCCCAAGCGACUGUUUAACUAAAACACAGCUCUCUGCAAAGUCGCAAGACGAAGUAUAGGGGGUGACGCCUGCCCGGUGCUGGAAGGUUAAGAGGAUUUGUCAUCCGCAAGGAGAAGCAAUGAAUUGAAGCCCCAGUGAACGGCGGCCGUAACUAUAACGGUCCUAAGGUAGCGAAAUUCCUUGUCAGGUAAG